rnacentral:tRNA from 1 species
GCCCGUAUGAAUCAAUCGGACCACGCACUGGACUCACAAUCCAGAAGUCGCUGGUUCAAAUCCCGCGGCGGGCG